UUAAUACUCCCAGUASCAUUUUUUUCGCAUGAAUUAGAUGUUAAAGAUUUAUCGGUAUAGGAUGGSCAUGCGUCCCAUUAGCUAGUUGGUGAGGUAACGGCUCACCAAGGCAUCGAUGGGUAUGGGGUCUUAAAGGAUGGUCCCACACACUGGCACUGAGACACGGGCCAGACUCCUACGGGAGGCAGCAGUGAGGAAUAUUGGUCAAUGGGUGAGAGCCUGAACCAGCCAUCCCGCAUGCAGGAUGACGGUCCUGGUGAUUGUAAACUGCUUUUCUAUGAGAUGAAUAAGAAUUACGUGUAGUUCGAUGACCGUAUUAUAGGAAUAAGCAUCGGCUAACUCCGUGCCAGCAGCCGCGGUAAUACGGAGGAUGCAAGCGUUAUCCGGAUUUAUUAGGUUUAAAGGGUGCGUAGGUGGGCGUUUAAGUCAGUGGUUAAAGCCAUUAGCUUAACUAAUGUAUGCCAUUGAUACUGGAUGUCUUGAAUGUGGUAGAGGUAGGCGGAAUGUGUUGUGUAGCGGUGAAAUGCUUAGAUAUAACACAGAACACCGAUUGCGAAGGCAGCUUACUAUUCCAUUAUUGACGCUGAUGCACGAAAACGUGGGGAUCAAACAGGAUUAGAUACCCUGGUAGUCCACGCUGUAAACUAUGAUCACUCGUUUUUGGCGAUAUAUAGUCAGAGACUGAGCGAAAGCAUUAAGUGAUCCACCUGGGGAGUACGUUCGCAAGAAUGAAACUCAAAGGAAUUGACGGGGGCCCGCACAAGCGGAGGAACAUGUGGUUUAAUUCGAUGAUACGCGAGGAACCUUACCUGGGCUUAAAUGUAUAGUGCAUAAUGUGGAAACACAUUUUUCCUUCGGGACUCUUUACAAGGUGCUGCAUGGUUGUCGUCAGCUCGUGCCGUGAGGUGUCGGGUUAAGUCCCAUAACGAGCGCAACCCUCAUCGUUAGUUGCCAACACGUGAAGGUGGGGACUCUAGCGAGACUGCCGGUGUAAACCGUGAGGAGGGUGGGGAUGACGUCAAAUCAGCACGGCCCUUAUGUCCAGGGCUACACACGUGUUACAAUGGCCAAUGCAAAGGGCAGCCACCUGGUGACAGGGCGCUAAUCCUCAAAGUUGGUCUUAGUUCGGAUCGGAGUCUGCAACUCGACUCCGUGAAGCUGGAUUCGCUAGUAAUCGUAGAUCAGCCAUGCU
rnacentral:rRNA from 1 species